UGCCCUGUAGCUCAAUUGGCAGAGCGCCUGGCUCUGGACCAGGAGGUUCCAGGUUCGAAUCCUGGCGGGGCAA
rnacentral:tRNA from 3 species